GACGAACGCUGGCGGCGUGCCUAAUACAUGCAAGUCGAACGCUUCUUUCCUCCCGAGUGCUUGCCCUCAAUUGGAAAGAGGAGUGGCGGACGGGUGAGUAACACGCGGGUAACCUACCCAUCAGAGGGGGAUAACACUUGGAAACAGGUGCUAAUACCGCAUAACAGUUUAUGCCGCAUGGCAUAAGAGUGAAAGGCGCUUUCGGGUGUCGUUGAUGGAUGGACCCGCGGUGCAUUAGCUAGUUGGUGAGGUAACGGCUCACCAAGGCCACGAUGCAUAGCCGACCUGAGAGGGUGAUCGGCCACACUGGGACUGAGACACGGCCCAGACUCCUACGGGAGGCAGCAGUAGGGAAUCUUCGGCAAUGGACGAAAGUCUGACCGAGCAACGCCGCGUGAGUGAAGAAGGUUUUCGGAUCGUAAAACUCUGUUGUUAGAGAAGAACAAGGACGUUAGUAACUGAACGUCCCCUGACGGUAUCUAACCAGAAAGCCACGGCUAACUACGUG
rnacentral:rRNA from 1 species